GACGAACGCUGGCGGCGUGCUUAACACAUGCAAGUCGAACGGAAAGGCCUCUUUCGGGGGGUACUCGAGUGGCGAACGGGUGAGUAACACGUGAGUAACCUGCCCAUGACUUUGGGAUAACUUCUGGAAACGGGGGCUAAUACCGGAUAGGAGCUCCUUCUGCAUGGUGGGGGUUGGAAUUGUUCUGCGGUUGGGGAUGGACUCGCGGCUGAUAAGCUUGCGGGUGGUGGAGGGGCUGAGCAAGGCAUUGGCGGGGAGCCGGCCCGGGAGGGUGACCGGCCACAUUGAGACUGAGACACGGACCAGACUCCGACGGGUGGGAGAAGCGGCGAAGAGUGAAAAAGGAGUGGGGGCGUGAUGCAGCACCGGCGUGUGCGGGAUGACGAUCAUCGGGUUGUAGUCCGAAUUCGCUCAUGACGAAGCUGUGUGUGACGGUAGUGGGUGAAGAAGCACCGGCUAACUCCGUG
rnacentral:rRNA from 1 species